rnacentral:rRNA from 1 species
CCUACGGGGGGCAGCAGUGAGGAAUAUUGGUCAAUGGGCGUAAGCCUGAACCAGCCAAGCCGCGUGAGGGAUGAAGGUUCUAUGGAUCGUAAACCUCUUUUAUAAGGGAAUAAAGUGUGGGACGUGUCCUAUUUUGUAUGUACCUUAUGAAUAAGGAUCGGCUAACUCCGUGCCAGCAGCCGCGGUAAUACGGAGGAUCCGAGCGUUAUCCGGAUUUAUUGGGUUUAAAGGGUGCGUAGGCGGCCUUUUAAGUCAGCGGUGAAAGUCUGUGGCUCAACCCGAGAAUUGCCGUUGAAACUGGGGGGCUUGAGUAUGUGUGAGGCAGGCGGAAUGCGUGGUGUAGCGGUGAAAUGCUUAGAUAUCACGCAGAACCCCGAUUGCGAAGGCAGCCUGCCAGGCCAUGACUGACGCUGAUGCACGAAAGCGUGGGGAUCAAACAGGAUUAGAUACCCCAGUAGUC